AAUGACCUAUUAAUGCCCUAUUGGUUUUGAUACAUUUAUUUUGAAAUGGUUUAGACGGAAGGAGAAAUAUUAUACUUUAUUUUGAAAAGGUAGUUCCUGGAAAAACGGAAAAGAUCGCUAAAUGGCAGGUGUGCCUCGUUCUUUCAUGAAAAAGUAUUCCCAUUAUUUGUUAAGCACCUGGCUGAGAAAGGCACAAGUUCUUACGGUGUGUUCAUAUAUCACAGCAUGUAUGGAAAUGGAAAUAAAAGGAUGUGAACCAUCA